UACGAGGGGGGCGAGCGUUGUUCGGAAUUAUUGGGCGUAAAGGGUGCGUAGGCGGUUUGGUAAGUCUCUUGUGAAAUCUAUGGGCUCAACUCAUAGUCUGCAAGGGAAACUGCCGGGCUUGAGUGUGGGAGAGGUGAGUGGAAUUUCCGGUGUAGCGGUGAAAUGCGUAGAUAUCGGAAGGAACACCUGUGGCGAAAGCGGCUCACUGGACCACAACUGACGCUGAUGCGCGAAAGUAAGGGGAUCAAACAGG
rnacentral:rRNA from 1 species